UGGGUAACCUGCCUCAAAGAGGGGAAUAGCCUCCCGAAAGGGAGAUUAAUACCGCAUAAUAUGUUUUGGUCGCAUGACUAGAACAUCAAAGGAGUAAUCCGCUUUGAGAUGGACCCGCGGCGCAUUAGCUAGUUGGUGAGGUAACGGCUCACCAAGGCGACGAUGCGUAGCCGACCUGAGAGGGUNAUCGGCCACAUUGGAACUGAGACACGGUCCAGACUCCUACGGGAGCAG
rnacentral:rRNA from 1 species